AAUUUAGUAGCUCAAUAGGUAGAGCAAUUCGCUGUUAACGAAGAGGUUGUUGGUUCAAAUCCAAUCUAGAUCGUCA
rnacentral:tRNA from 1 species